UCUUUUCCACCUUCACAAGAAACCCCAUUUACCUCCCUGCUUUUUCAUCCAUCUCCUUCAACAAACUAAUUGAAUAUGACAGCCACAUCUCUUUUCAACAAAAAUAACAUUUCUCACAAACCCAUUUCUCAGAACCAAUUUUAGAUCAAAAAAUGGCUCAUGAAGGUGAUCAAGAACCAAGAAAUCUCCAUUACCCACUCGAAGCAAACUGCUACAGAGUUCUGGACGAGAUUGGGCAAGGCGUGAGUGCCAUUGUGUACAAGGCCAUCUGUGUCCCGUUGAACUCGACUGUGGUGGCCAUUAAAGCCAUAGACCUCGAUCGAUCUCGAGCCGAUCUCGAUGAUGUUCUGCGUGAAACCAAGACCAUGUCACUCCUCUCCCACUCCAACAUCCUCAAUGCUCAUUGUUCUUUCACUGUGAACCAAACACUCUGGGUGGUCAUGCCUUUCAUGUCCGCAGGCUCUUUACAGUCCAUCGUAUCAUCUUCUUUCCCGGAUGGCUUGUCUGAAUCAUGUAUUGCAAUAGUUCUCAAAGACACGUUGAAUGCUCUGUGUUAUCUUCAUGAUCAAGGCCACCUUCAUAGAGAUGUGAAGGCGGGUAAUAUUUUGAUGGACUCGAACGGUGCAGUGAAGCUAGCAGACUUUGGUGUCUCUGCUUCGAUUUACGAGCCGAGUUCGGGUCGAGGGUCGUCGGGAUCAUCGUCCGGGAGGCUCACCGACGUCGCCGGGACGCCGUAUUGGAUGGCUCCGGAGGUGAUACACUCGCAUACAGGGUACAGUUUCAAGGCUGAUAUAUGGUCUUUCGGUAUCACUGCGUUGGAAUUAGCUCAUGGAAGGCCACCUCUGUCUCACCUCCCUCCUUCGAAGUCCCUCUUCAUGAAGAUCACAAAGCGGUUUCGAUUCUCGGAUUAUGAGAAGAUCUACCAGAGCCUGAAGAACAAGAAAUUCUCGAAAUCUUUUAAGGACAUGGUUGCUUUGUGCCUUGAUCAAGACCCGUCCAAGAGGCCUUCUGCUGAGAAGCUAUUGAAGCACCCAUUUUUCAAGAAUUGCAGGGGCUCGGAUUUUCUUGUGAAGAACAUCUUGCAAGGGUUGCCUAGUGUGGAACAGAGGUUCAAGCUAUCGAAGCUUCAACGCCUGGUUUCGAUGAGCAAAUCCGAGGAAGAAGAUGAAGGGAGUGAAGGGUCUUCACUGGGUGAUAAUAAUGACAAACAGAGGAGGAUUAGUGGGUGGAACUUCAAUGCAGAUGGUUUUGAACUAGACCCAGUGUUCCCAACUGAUAAAGCAGAUGAUGAUAUUGUGAAACUAGUUCGAUUUGGUGGCGAAACAUUCAUUGGUGGAGAUGAAGGAAGAGAAACCAAAGUUUGUGAUCAAGCUAGUGAGGGAUCAAAAGAGAUUGGCAGUGGUGGUGGUGGUGGUGGUGAGGCUGAGAUUGGUGGUUCGGCGCGGGUUGAUAGGGAGGUGAUGAUGGGGAGUCUUCUAUUUCUGAAGAACAGUUUGGAUGAUCAGAGAAAGCAGGUGAUGAACAUGAUUGGUCUGUUUCGCGGGGAGGAGAGUGUGGAGGUGAGCAGAGAAGAGGAGAUGAUGCAAAUGAUGGAGAGAUUGAGGAUGGAAUUGGAGAAUGAGAGGAAGAAGAACUUUGAAUUGAAGAUGGAGUUGGAAUUUUUGAAAUUGCAGCUCUGAAAAAUAAGAUAGUGGCUUGGAAGGCGGGCUCUUUGGGACAACUGGGAGCAACCAACCACUGGGUUACUAAGUUUGGAUGUGCAAUCUACUUGGCUGGCAGUUAUUUGUGGGUUCAGCACCAAGAGGCAAGUGACUUUAAUGAUGUGUGACAAUGGAUGCUAUAGGCUGUUCUUUUCCUGUAAAUCUGUAGUAGUUUCAUAAUUUCAUUGAAAAAAUAGCAUAUAUAUAUAUAUAUAUUUGUGUAUAUAUAUGUAUAUUUUCCUAUUGAGAUCUCAUCAAUUUGGAAUGUAAUCUCUUAGUACUUUUGGGUGUUGAAGUUAAAUCAUGAUCACAGAUUAGAUGAAAUUCAUGAUGAAAUGCUUGCCAUUCUGAUCAGGAUUUUGUACGAGUCCAUUUGGUUUACUGGCAGAUUUGCUUGGACGUACUGAGCUAGUAUUUUAUGCAACUAUAUAAGAAAAGGAAUGCAAGUAAAUGUGUUGGAUUAUGUGACAUAUAUGCAUUAGGAUUAUAAUAUUGAAAAAGGUCAUUAAAACUUAAUUGUAAAGACCCAAAAUCCGAGGAUCCGAGUUGCCAUCCGGGUCCUUACCCAAAUCCAUUAAUCCGCUAUUAUGGUCAUUUUACAUCGUAAAGUCCGCAAAUAUGGUUGGUUCUAUCUUAUUCAUCAUUAAAGAAGUCAAAUAUGUUCAUUACGUUGAAGUCUCAGGCCAACGGAACAAGUCUCCCAAAAAGUCCCUAGCCGAGUGC